GAGGAUCGCGGAUCGCGCCCGCCGCGGACGCGGCCCGCUGCCCGGGCCUCGGCGGCCGCCAACUCCCUCCUCCUCCAAAUCCUCCUCCUCCUCAGCUGCCAACCCUAAGGCCGCCGGCUGCCGAGUGCAACCGGGAGGUGUAAUCCCUCUGACAGAGGGCAUCCCUUUCCAGUGUUGGGGCCCAAGAGCAGAGCGGCGCAUCCCACCCACGGGUCCCGCCUAAGACCCCUGAAGGGGUAGAAAAGAGAGGAACCACCACGAGGAGAACCGACAGCGAGCCAGGGACCCGCGGGAAGGCAUUUAAGGAGUUUGAGAAGACUCUUGCGAUGCCCCUAAUCAACUGGGAGCUUUGUGAGUAUAGCGGCAGACUAGGAUUCACAACCUAUGAUCAGCAGUACCCAAGAACAGCCCACAGUGAAGCUGGAGACCACAAAAGGCCCACAGCCCACACCUCUGCAGAGCAUUUUGGAGAAGACAGGUGGAAGAUAAAGUAAGGCCAAACCUCAUGACUGGCCGGUGACUUGGUGAAGGCUGUCCCUGAGCAAAAGAAUCCAGUGUUUGUAAGACCUUUCAUAUACCUGCUAACUGUAACAACCCACAGAUCUGCCACCAAAAUAAACAUAGCCUUUUCCAAAGUGCUGUAAAAAGUCUAAAAUGUCUGAGCUUCAUUACCAAAGGUUGGUAGUGAUUCAAAAUAUACUAGCAGGGCUUCCCUGGUGGCGCAGUGGUUGAGAGUCCGCCUGCCGAUGCAGGGGACACGCGUUCGUGCCCCGGUCCAGGAGGAUCCCACAUGCCGCGGAACGGCUGGGCCCGUGAGCCAUGGCCGCUGAGCCUGCGCGUCCGGAGCCUGUGCUCCGCAACGGGAGAGGCCCGCGUACCAAAAAUAAAAAAGAAAGAAAAAAUAUAUAUACUAGCAGAGGAGAUCAAAUUAAGAAGAUGAAGUAAAGACAAUUAUGGAAAUUCUAAUUAAGAUUUUUGCACCAUGCUGGUGGAAGGAACCGAAACCAGUCUGAAUGAAGAUCAGCUGGUCUUUUGCGGUCCCGUUCCAGAUGGGACAUUUACCCUGACUCUGAGGUUGUUCUAGCUUUAUGGUAGGGUCUCCUAUCAGAAUCCACAUCUUCGGUGUUACUUUUAUUGUUGUUUUCCUUUCUUACUUAGUGCCAGAGAAAAUGCUGCCUCUUCCGACUAACAGUAUCUUAGAUGAAAUACAGUAUAUUUGAAAUAAUGAUUAUGCAACUUAAGAAACACAUAGACAAUAUUUUCCACACCUUAAGUAUUCCUCAAAGACAUUAUUUUAAUGAUUGCCCAUGAUUCAUAUAAUCCAUAAUUCAUUAUUUAUUCUCAUUUUUGUAGAUUUCUAUUGCUUCUAAUUUUUAUUACAGAAUAAAGCUGUAAUGAACAUCAUUUUCAUAUCUUCAUGUCAUCCUGAUAAUUUCUUCAGAAUAAAUUCCUAAAAAUUUAUUGGACUUCAAAAUUUAUUGGCAAAACUAUGUAUAGCAAAAUUGACCUAUAGAAAUGAGCAUCACUUUACAUAACUACCACCAUUAAUAUAAGGGGCCUACUUUCCCUAAACUUAAGAAAAAUUGUGAAGUUUCAUAUGUAAAAAAACUUUCUCAAUUGUUGAUUAAUUUGCAUUUAUAUCUGUGGCUGACUGUUUCAUGUUUUUGUUGGCCAUUUGCAGCUCUUCACUUGUGGGUCAUCUCCUGAUGUCAUUUGACUAUUUUUCUAUUGGGAUGUUAGUCUUUUUAUGUUAGAAUAAUUUUUACUUGUAGAAUAUUACUGCAAAUCAUAUAUAGUGCUAACACCUUUCAAUUUCCUUGUCUUUUCAUUUGUUCUUAGACGUUUUGGAUGUACUGAUCAUUUUAAUAUAACCAAACAUGUU